rnacentral:rRNA from 1 species
AAGGUAGCGAAAUUCCUUGUCGGGUAAGUUCCGACCUGCACGAAUGGAGUAACGAUCAUCCCCGCUGUCUCGACCAGGGACUCAGCGAAAUUGAACUGCCAGUGAAGAUGCUGGCUACCCGCAUCAAGACGGAAAGACCCCGUGCACCUUUACUAUACCCUGGUAUUGGACAUUGGGAUAGUCUGUGUAGGAUAGGUGGGAGGCUUUGAACCGGAGGCGCUAGCUUUCGGGGAGCCGUCGUUGAAAUACCACCCUGAUUAUUCUGAUGUUCUAACCUCGGCCCGUCAUCCGGGCCAGGGACAGUGCCAGGCGGGUAGUUUGACUGGGGCGGUCGCCUCCCAAAUCGUAACGGAGGCGCGCGAAGGUUCCCUCAGGCUGAUUGGAAACCAGCCGUCGAGUGUAAAGGCAUAAGGGAGCUUAACUGCAAGACCUACAAGUCAAGCAGAUGCGAAAGCAGGUCUUAGUGAUCCGGUGGUCCCGCGUGGAAGGGCCAUCGCUCAACGGAUAAAAGGUACGCCGGGGAUAACAGGCUGAUCGGGCCCAAGAGUUCACAUCGACGGCCCGGUUUGGCACCUCGAUGUCGGCUCAUCGCAUCCUGGGGCUGGAGCAGGUCCCAAGGGUUCGGCUGUUCGCCGAUCAAUAGCGGUACGUGAGCUGGGUUCAGAACGUCGUGAGACAGUUCGGUCCCUAUCUGAUGUGGGCGCAGGAGAUUUGAGGGAAGCUGUCCUUAGUACGAGAGGACCGGGAUGGCGGGACCUCCAGUAUUCCAGUUGUCCUGCCAAGGGCAACGCUGGUUAGCUGUGUCCCGAAGGGAUAACCGCUGAAAGCAUCUAAGUGGGAAGCCCCUCCCAAGAUAAGAUCUCCCGGGCCGUAAGGCUCCUAAAGGUCACUUGGAGACUACGAGUUUGAUAGGCCGGGUGUGUAAGCCCUGUAAGGGGUUAAGCUAACCGGUACUAAUCGACCGUGAGGCUUGACCAA